UUCAAAUCCAAUUUUUUCAGCCCUUGAAAUUACUUCAGUUUUACAGCCUGAAAAUCACAUUAUCUUGGAAGCAAUAUCUGGACAUUAAUAUAAUGGAAGCCCAAACUUUGUAAGGUGGAAGACAAACAUGUCAAUAUUACUGAACCAUAACAAGUUUGUACAGCAUGCCCUAGAAUGGG